GACAGAGGCCCCGAGCGUUAGGCGGAAUCACUGGGCUUAAAGCGUGUGUAGGCGGGCCCGUAAGUACCUUGUGAAAUCCCACGGCUCAACCGUGGAACGGCUGGGUAUACUGCGGGUCUUGGGCCAACUAGGGGCAGCCGGAACAAGCGGUGGAGCGGUGAAAUGCGUAGAUAUCGCGUGGAACGCCGAAGGUGAAAACAGGCUGCUGGGGUUGCGCCGACGCUGAGACACGAAAGCCAGGGGAGCAAACGGG
rnacentral:rRNA from 1 species